CGGGCCGAGCCGGGAGGACCGGGCCGGUUCCCCUCCGUUCCGUGACGGCUCCGCAGCGCCCGCAACUUUCGCGGGUGGGAGACAAACUCCUCUCGCCGCGCCCGGGCUGCGGGGCGGGAGAGCGGCCGGUCGGGGCGGGAGAGCGGCCGGCGGCGGGACCGGAGCGGCGCGGGGCCCCGGGGCCGCGGUCGGCGGAGCUCUCCGAGGUCCUGGCACCCGGCCCGGGGCGGGCGGGGGGAGGCAGCGCCGUGCCGGGUCGCCGGGAGCCCUCCCCGCCCGUCCCGGUCCCGGUCGGUGCGGCUGCGGCGCGGGGCUGCGCCUUGUCCCCGGCACGGUGCCGCGGGGCUAGGGGCGCACUCCCUCGCCCCGGGCCGGGCUCCGCCGCUCUCCCGGCAUGGUCCUGCUGCGGCUACCGGCGCUCCGAGCCCGCUCAGCGCCGGGCAGCUCCCGUGCUCAGGCGGCCGCCCCGCUCCCCGCGCCCCCGGAGCCCCGCUCCCCUUCUUCUCGGUCCGCGGCACCGGCUCUGCCCGACGGCGCGGGCAGGCGGCGGCUCUGCUCCCGGGACCCCGCUCGGCGCUGGCCGGGGGCGGCUGCCGCUGCCGUGGCGGGGCCGCGGGGCCCUCGCCUUUGUGAGCCUCCGCCGCCGGUCCCCCGGGUGUGCCGGCAUCAGCACCGGUGACUUGUUGCUCUGUAUUUCUCAGCCAGCUCCAGCUCUUGCUCUCUUCUACCUCAGCUCCUGCAGCACAGGGCUCCGGGUGUCCCUUCUGCAGUGAGACUGAGACAAACCAACUGCUGGCUUUCUCGGAUGUGUCCUGUCCCGAGAGCUGUCUCCGCUGUUCACCCCUGAGAUCCACCUUUGUCUCACAGGCUUCCUGGCAUGGGUGCGUGCUGAGAAGUCUCUGCUGCUUCUUGCAGUGCUUGUCUGCUUGUUCUCCAUCCUCUCUUUAGCCUCUCCUGGGUAAGCCCGGGUCUGUUCCUUGCCCUGCCUUGUUCUUCCCUCAGAAGACUGUUUCCCUCACUCGGGUACCCCUCGAACCUCAUUCCUCAGCAGGAGAACGAGAGCAUUUUGCCUCCCUGCUGCUGUUGUGGGUUCCUGGGGCUUUGGUGCUCCUCUUGUGCUCCCAGGCCUCUGUGCUGAGUCAAAAGCCCGGUGCGAUGUCACUUCUGUUGUGAAACUCUCCUCGGGGACAGAACUGCCCUGGCCAAAACCAGCUAUCCGUAUGACCGCAUCUUCCCAGUCUACAGGGAAAUGAACUGCAUUGUGCGUGAUCUCCCUCCCUGGCUCCUCCAUAGCUAAGCCCAACAUGUUCUGUCUUCCUGAGGGACCCAGGUGAACAGUAGCCAUUUCUGAUACCAAGAAAUCAUAUCCUAAGACUUGCCCUGUUGUGACUGGCUCAGAUGAUGGAAGGAAAUAUGUCUUGCUACCGUUGUUCAUUCACUGCUGCCUAUUAACUGUCUCUCAGCACUGUGCUUGCUCUGGAGCCGUGAAGGAUGCUUGUUCUUCCACACAAGCAUGUGCCCAUGUGGACCUCACUCUGUGGGCUGCUCUGCCCAGGUCCAAGAGGAUUUGUCAGGUCAAAUGGCACCACCUUCUCCUUUACCUAAUGGCUGGUACAGUCAGGAGAAACAAGACCCUUGCAGAUGGACAGUAGGGUUUGUUUUACCAACUAGGUGAAAGCCAGGAUGGUUGCUGUGGGCUUUUUCUGCAAUUAAGGAAGAGGAAGAUGAUUCGUGUCAAAAGGAGGCAUCAUAAACUAUCUACAAUGAUGUUUGCACUAGCAUCCCAUCGGUGGCCCUGUCCAAAAACAGUUGCCCAGGGAAGAGGAAGAGUACAACCUGUACGAUACUUUCUAAAAUUACACUUCCCUAGCAUCUAACCACCUGCACUGCAGGGGCUUCCUGAGCCGGGGGUUGUUUCUGUAUAUUUAGUAGCCUUUGGCCAAUUCCUCUUCUGUGACCUUAUCUAGUCUCCCCUGGAGUCCACUACAAAGGAGAGAUACACCUGGCAUCAGGCACAUCCUGGGGCAAGGCGUUCCACAGAUCUCCAUGCGAAGAAGUGGUGCCUCCUUUUGUCUGUUUUGCUGACAUCAAGUGAAUUAUAGCCUAAAGUGACUAUUUCUGUCCCUGGGCUCCAUUCGUAUCUCCAUCACGCAGGUGUCUAUGGAGACAAGAUCAGUUGCUUGCUGGAUCAGCCAAAGGAGUCAAUGCUCUAUUUUAGGGCCUCUUUCUGCAUCUAAUGUGUUUCAAACUUGCUUCCAGACAUUGUCACAGAUGAGGGCGGAGAGGCAUGUGGGGAAACUGGUGGUAAGAAGCAGCAAAGCUUGGUGUUUGGUUUGUUACUACAGCUGCAAAAAAGAGUAUGGCCCCCAGCACAAAUGCACUCAACACCCCCAGCUCUCCACACCUCUCCUGAGAGCACGCUUGUUCUGUAGAAGUCUCCACCGAGACCCAGGCGGUGGUCUGAGACUGUCUCUUGGGUUGAUGUAGUAACUGCACAUUCAGUCAGGGACAGGGUGAAGCUUUGUGUUAUUCCUUAUGAACGUAACAAAGAGCUCUUGUGUGCUCACGACACGGAGCUCUUCUGGCUGUUAUGACACCUAUUCUUGACCCAGGUCCCUCUGAUCCUGCUUGAAUAACUUUGUCACCUGUGACACCGAGCUCUCCUCACCAUGUCCAUAAUAAGAUCAAGGAACAGCUGUGACUUCGUGAAGAGCAAAGCAAUGGGUCAAUCUUGUUCUUCAUCUACUGCCUUCUUGUUGAUUUUUCAAAGUCACAAUACUUUGCUUCAUGACAGCUUCAAUUCCUGUUCAAAGGCCUCUGAAAGUCUCAGUAUCUCUCCCACCAAAUGGGUGGGUUCCCCUGGCUCCAGUACUUCCUCGAUGGGGACAUAUUAGGUAACUAACAGACCAAUAUACCAAUUUUCCUUGUGAAAACCUCUGGUUUAGACUCUAUCAUCAUAUCAUAUAGAUGAUGAUAGAGUCUAAACUCCCUUGCUGCUUCUGAGUUUUGUACUGCAAACACAGCCCUUCUAUAAGACACAAAUGUGAGACAUUAGUCUGGUAGAGAACGUUUAAAAUCUGGGGUCUGGUUAAGAAGAGUGAAUCCAGAGAUCGUACCUGUUUUACAAAUGACAUGUUGCAGUUGGUAGUGCGGCCUUCUUCCAGUCUCUCGGGGCACAGUCUGGGCCUACAAGAGCAAACUGCCAGAUCUGCACUGUUUGAUGGUGUGGCUGCUGGGAUGGCGUCCCCCAUCCCUGGGGAAGGGCAGGACCUGUGAGCGCUCUUGGUGAAGACACAGACAUCCUCGUAAGAGCUCUCUUGUCUUGUCAGGCUUUGUGCUCCGACGGACAGAGGUGGUACACAGAACCACUCUCAGGAAGCCACAGACUUGCUGCAGGACCGGCAAGGGAUGUGGGAGCUCCACAGCAGCCAGGCUCCUGGGAACGUCUCCUGGGCUCAAGCAGUUUCUUGCAGUUGCUGCUUCUGUAUUUGCAACCCUGCACCUUUGGGCAUCUGAGGGCUGUUCUGCCUUUCCCACUGAGACAACGUAACAGAGGUGUCUGCGGUGGUCCGAGUGCUGUCUCCUGGGCGGCCUGGGAUGAGGUCCUGUCUACGGGAAGGCGUACAGCUCGGACGAGGAGAAGCUGGAGGUGAAGUCGGCGGCGACGCCGUGCAGCGAGCGGGAGGAGGAGAGCUCGGCGGGCGACAGCGAGGAGGAGCCCUUCCUGGACGGGGCGGCCGCCGC